rnacentral:rRNA from 1 species
GCACUUGGGAAAUUUUUGCAAUGGGGGCAACCCUGAUCCAGCCAUGCCGCGUGUGUGAAGAAGGCCCUCGGGUUGUAAAGCACUUUCAGUGAGGAAGAAGUCCUUGGGCUUAAUACGCCCAAGGAAGGACGUCACUCACAGAAGAAGCACCGGCUAACUCCGUGCCAGCAGCCGCGGUAAUACGGAGGGUGCGAGCGUUAAUCGGAAUUACUGGGCGUAAAGCGCGCGUAGGUGGCUUGAUAAGCCGGUUGUGAAAGCCCCGGGCUCAACCUGGGAACGGCAUCCGGAACUGUCAGGCUAGAGUGCAGGAGAGGAAGGUAGAAUUCCCGGUGUAGCGGUGAAAUGCGUAGAGAUCGGGAGGAAUACCAGUGGCGAAGGCGGCCUUCUGGACUGACACUUACACUGACGUG